CUUGGUCAUUUAGAGGAAGUAAAAGUCGUAACAAGGUUUCCGUAGGUGAACCUGCGGAAGGAUCAUUAUCGAAUGUUAAACAUGGGGAUGUUGCUGACUUAUCCAUAUGGAUGGGUAGUGUGCACUCCUCUAAAAUGUUCAAAUCCACCUGUGCACAUUGAGUAGGCAAAACAGAUUGAGUUCUGUGGGGCCUAUGUUAUAUAUAAUCCUGUGAAAGAUGGUAUAAACAAUGAAAAUGAUAUUACAACUUUCAACAAUGGAUCUCUUGGUUCUCGCAUCGAUGAAGAACGCAGCGAAUUGCGAUAUGUAAUGUGAAUUGCAGAAUUCAGUGAAUCAUCGAAUCUUUGAACGCAUCUUGCGCCCUUUGGCUAUUCUGAAGGGCAUGCCUGUUUGAGAGUCAUUAUUAUUCUCAAACUUCAGAGUUUUUGUGGACUCUGAAGCUUUGGAUAUGGAGGACUAUUGCUGGCAAAUUUGUGUUGCUGGCUCCUCUCAAAUGCAUUAGCGGAACUGUCAAUGUCUUGGCUCUGGUUUGAUACAUAUCUAUGCCAUUGCUGAGGAGCUUUCAUGGUUCAGCUUAUAAACCCCCCCUUUGUCUCCGAAAACUUGACCUCAAAUCAGGUAGGACUACCCGCUGAACUUAAGCAUAUCAAUAAGCGGAGGAAAAGAAACUAACAAGGAUUCCCCUAGUAACUGCGAGUGAAGAGGGAAAAGCUCAAAUUUGAAAUCUGGCAGGUCUUGCAUCUGUCCGAGUUGUAGUUUAGAGAAGUGCCAUCCGCGCUGGGCCUGUGCAUAAGUUUCUUGGAACAGAACAUCAUAGAGGGUGAUAAUCCCGUCUUUAGCACAGGUUGAAUCAGGGCUUUUGUGAUGCACCCUCGAAGAGUCGAGUUGUUUGGGAAUGCAGCUCUAAAUGGGUGGUAAAUUCCAUCUAAAGCUAAAUAUUGGCGAGAGACCGAUAGCGAACAAGUACCGUGAGGGAAAGAUGAAAAGAACUUUGAAAAGAGAGUUAAACAGUACGUGAAAUUGUUGAAAGGGAAACGCUUGAAGU
rnacentral:rRNA from 1 species